rnacentral:lncRNA from 1 species
GUAUGUAAGCAUCUCAGUGCUGAGCAGUUCUGUUAAUUAAAGAGGCCAAAUAAUCCAUGUAAUCUAAUGAUGUGAUUUUAACAGAGGAGGAAACCUGCCAAAAUGUGAGGGCACUUCCUGAUCCUUAGCAGAAGCGGCAGUUUGAUAAAUUACACACACUGGUAGAAUUAGCAUUCAAGUAAUCAGGCCGUCCAAACAGGAGAAGAAUAUUAACUUUUUAAAGUGUUUGUUUGUCUUGUCAUCAUGGCCGCCCAUCUGAAGUGGGAAGUUUGUUAAUGGUUCAUAAGACCCUCCCAUGGGACCACAUUACCCAGAAGGAAUAUCUCUAUAUGCAGAGUGCCAGCACUCAUUCCUCUACACCGUUCAAAUAAAUAGAUGUUUGGCAGAGCAUUUGACCGUGAGUAAUCCACAUUUUUGUAGGAGCUCCAAUUUUAUUGGUUGUAAAAACAGCAAGUUUUGUUACAAAACAGGAAAAUGAAAGUAGACUAACUACGGCUUCUGACCACACACUGGACAGGAAAAGGAAAUCACUCUUAAUCAGGUGUUGCCAUUAAUCUUGUUUGCUUUAGACUUUCACCCUUCAUUUACCUUGACCCAGGGCGCAAGGAGAAAAUGAGCGUUCCAACCUGACUGGUGACACCAGCUUGAUGAAUGAUAGAAAAACACAGACUGCCAUGUGCAGCACGGCUAACAGCGCUAGCUAUCAGCAGACCGGUCAGGCAAACGUGCUCUUGUCCUAGACAGACAUCUGGCCGUUUUGGAGAUGCAAGAUAAGGCCAACUGCAGAGUCCACAGUGUGAGACAAUAGACAUACAACUAGCGCCAGCUUCAUUUACCCACAUUAGCACUGCCAAAGACGAUGGAUGGCACAAAUAUCAGACUGCUGGGUGACAGGAUUGAUCAGAAUCAAAUCUAAUCUAUUUCAGAGAGCCAUAGAAACAACAACAAUGCUGUCCCGCUGUCAGGAAGCACAUCCAGUUGGCUGGAAUAACUCGGAAUGCUUCAUUUUGUCGUAUGAUGUUCGUUCCAAAGAAAGCAAUGGACAGCAUCAUUCCCUUCAGAAAUUCUCCCACAGAUCACUGUCCAUAUCAAUGAACCGCCAACACAAAUAAAGUACUUUUGAAUUAACUAUCGGCUCCCUGCCUGAAUAAUAGGCUUCAAUCUCUUUGCUUCUCCCUGCAUCUCUUCAUCGUACCUGCUUUCUUCUCCCCUCAUUUCUGGCCCUACCUCCUCUCUUUCACAUUUCCCCUCUCCUCGCGCCUUUGCAACCGUCACUCUCAUUGAGAAAAAGCUCUUUUUUGUCAUAAGGAGCGAGAGGGCCGUGUCGGAGAAGCGCGUCCACCGGCAGCCACCCAGGCCUCUCGGUUCCUCUCACACUCUCUUCAACUGCUGUUUCUGGAGCUUAAGAUUUUUUUUGGCAGGUAGAAGAUUAGUAAAGAGCUCUUGGCAACAAAGCAUUCAAUCACUUCCAAGUAGCGUGGUAUCAAAUGUGCCCUCCGCCCUCCUCAGUUUUGGGAGAGCAAGUCUUUCUUCUCGUCUGCACUCCUCUUUUUUCCAGCCUCUUUUCCUGGUUGAGCCUAGUGGCCUUUGAAAAGAAUCUCCUCUGUUCCUGCGUCUCUUGUCAAUCGGAGAGAGGCAGGAAAUGAGCCUGCUUUGUAGGAUUAAUUAAUAACAGAGGUUGGUCAAUGCAUGAGAGGGGAUGUAAUUGCUACUCUGUGGAAGAAGAGGAAAGGAAAAGUUUGGGUUGCAGUUUUUUGAGGAGGGGGCUUCUGAGGAGGGGAAGGAGCUUUGAACUGAAGGGCCUGUGUGCUCCUGGAUUAAAGCGAGAUGCGUGUGGG